rnacentral:rRNA from 1 species
AUGCUUGCAUCCCACACUCGUUCCCAGACCACCAAUGUUCGGAUCGCCCUCGCAAACUUGCAGAAGGGCAACUCCUCCAUCACCGACUACGUCGGGAAGAUCAAGUCCCUCUGCGACGAGCUGAUCGCUGCAUGGAAGAGGGUGGACGACGACGACAUCGUCUCCCACAUCCUGGCCGGGCUAGAUGAAGAUUUUGACCCGCUGGUGUCGGCCAUGUGUUCCGGGGUGGAGCCGGUGACCGUGGCUGAGCUGUUCUCGCAGCUGCUGAGCUUCGAGACGAGGCUC